rnacentral:rRNA from 1 species
GGCCACAGCCAUAUCACCCUACAGCCCAAGACUGGUUGCCCACUGAAGCUAAGCAGGGUUGAGCCUGGUCAGUACCUGGAUGGUCUCGUAAAGAGUAGGGGUGUAACCCCAGUGUCCUGGCCA